rnacentral:lncRNA from 1 species
GCCAGAAGAAAAAUCACUCUAAGAUUGCAAAGUAGAAGCCAUAUCGUAGAGUCAAUGUGACGCCUCCAAAUUCGUGUAUUCGCUACAAUAGACUUGGUGCUCACAAUUCAUCUACAUUCAUAAUGACUAGCUAUUAAUAUAAGCUAAAUUAAACCAAUUAAUACAUUUAUUUACAUAAAUUUAGUCUUACCAUCCCAUGACUUAAUUACA